GACGUAGGGCGCGAGCGUUGUCCGGAUUUAUUGGGCGUAAAGAGCUCGUAGGCGGCUUGUCGCGUCGAAUGUGAAAACCCGAGGCUCAACUGCGGGUCUGCAGUCGAUACGGGCAGGCUAGAGUUCGGUAGGGGAGACUGGAAUUCCUGGUGUAGCGGUGAAAUGCGCAGAUAUCAGGAGGAACACCGAUGGCGAAGGCAGGUCUCUGGGCCGAUACUGACGCUGAGGAGCGAAAGCGUGGGGAGCGAACAGG
rnacentral:rRNA from 1 species